GAUGAACGCUGGCGGCGUGCCUAAUACAUGCAAGUCGAGCGAACAGACGAGGAGCUUGCUCCUUUGACGUUAGCGGCGGACGGGUGAGUAACACGUAGGUAACCUACCUAUAAGACUGGGAUAACUUCGGGAAACCGGAGCUAAUACCGGAUAAUAUUUCGAACCGCAUGGUUCGAUAGUGAAAGAUGGCUUUGCUAUCACAUAUAGAUGGACCUGCGCCGUAUUAGCUAGUUGGUAAGGUAACGGCUUACCAAGGCAACGAUACGUAGCCGACCUGAGAGGGUGAUCGGCCACACUGGAACUGAGACACGGUCCAGACUCCUACGGGAGGCAGCAGUAGGGAAUCUUCCGCAAUGGGCGAAAGCCUGACGGAGCAACGCCGCGUGAGUGAUGAAGGUCUUCGGAUCGUAAAACUCUGUUAUUAGGGAAGAACAAACGUGUAAGUAACUGUGCACGUCUUGACGGUACCUAAUCAGAAAGCCACGGCUAACUACGUG
rnacentral:rRNA from 1 species